UACGAAGGGGGCUAGCGUUGCUCGGAAUUACUGGGCGUAAAGCGCACGUAGGCGGCUCUUUAAGUCGGGGGUGAAAUCCUGGAGCUCAACUCCAGAACUGCCUUCGAUACUGAAGAGCUUGAGUCCGGGAGAGGUGAGUGGAACUGCGAGUGUAGAGGUGAAAUUCGUAGAUAUUCGCAAGAACACCAGUGGCGAAGGCGGCUCACUGGCCCGGUACUGACGCUGAGGUGCGAAAGCGUGGGGAGCGAACGGG
rnacentral:rRNA from 1 species